GCAGCUGGCUAAGCGCUAGCCCGGCCUGUGGCGAGUCUGCAGAGCUCGCCCGGAAGUAGCGUUGCGCGCGCAGAGGAUGGGCGCUGAGCAGCACACAGCCCGCGGCGGGGUCUCAGGAUCCGCGGCGCUGCCCGGGGCCGGGGGAAGGAAGCCAGCCGAGGAGACGCACGUGCCCUGAGUCCGGGAGCGGGGAGCCUCUUCAUCUCUCCAUCCUCCCUCCGCGCGCGCCCUCAGCCGUCCUCGUCCGCUCACCAUGCACCUCCCCUCCAAGAAAGGGCCACAUGCGUGCCAGGGACGCGAGCCCCGGCCACAGGGACAUAGCAGCCUAGAAGAGACAGAGCUUCACCAUGAUGGCCAGGCUGGUCUCGAACUCCUGGACUCAAGCAAUCUGCCUACCUGGGCCUCCCAAAGUGUUGGGAUUGUGGGCAUGAGCCACCUUGCCUGGCAUAUUCAAUGUUCUGUAGAGGAAUAAAAGUUCCCUGUUUUUCAAAUGAGCCCAUGAGUCAAAAAGAAUGGCAUAAGGCAAUUACCCAUAAAAACAAAAUUAAUAAAAUCUUCAUGUGGCACACCUAAAAACACUUCUCUUUCCAUGUAAGAACUAAAUAUAUGUCACUCUUCUGAUCAGGCACAUGGGCUGGAAUGAAAGAUCGUCCUUAUCUGGUUUAUUGCAGGACUCUCAUGCUUCCAACAGAAAAGGGAAAGCCAAUAGACCAAAAAAAAAAAAAAAAACCAAAAACUAGUUGUCUGAAGUUUUUUUUUUUUUUUUUUUUUAAAGUUUCUUUCUAUUCGAAUAACUAGCUGUCUAUAAUCAGGGUGCCAACUGAACAAUGAGUGCAGACACAGACAGGUUUGGCGUCACCUGUGUGUUCUGCGUCGGGAUCUGUAACAGCAGUGCCAGUGCACUGAAGUCGAAGGUUUCAUCUAAGGCCAGAAGUGCUCCGUGAACACCACUCUCUAUAAGAUUGUUUGCAUAUUCUUUAAGGCCAAUUGACAGGAUCCAGCGAAUCACUCGAUCAUUGCUCCAAACAAGCACGUCUGCAAAAGAAUAAAGACAAUUAUAAAAGUGGCUUCAGAAAGCCAUCUUUAUCACAUGUACCCUGUAAUGCAGGAGAAAGAUUCCUACCAUGGUUCCUAAUCCUUCGGCUCCUGAGAAAAGUGCUGGGAGACACUGCUAAAUAGACAACCAUUUGCUGCACUGAGACAAUGGUGUCCUGGCCCUGCUCCACUCUCAGGGAGACUCUCCCAUUAGAACUCAUCCUUCCAGUGAGCACGAGAGGAAUGAAGUUAUUAUUUCUAGAGAAAAGAAGAUGAUGAGGAUCCAGGGAUCAGAAGCCAGAGGACUGCAAGAACUUGAAUACCUAACAUGUAUAAACAUGCUUCACACACAGACUGGAGAGUCUUCUGAAAUACUUCAUCACGGAUGGAGCUGGCUCCAUAAUAAUAUGAACACUUUGCUCAAUUCAACAGAAACCUCUCAUUUCUAAUCUCGAAGUCUUUGUCUCAUUUUAAAAUGAGAGAAACUUAACAAUAUCAUCCAGCACAUUAGAGACUUUGCAGAAAAUCUUUUUUUUUCCUCUCUUUUUCUUGACAAUGUCCUGCUCUGUCACCCAGGCUGGAUACAGCCUGGUACCAUCAUAGCUCACUGCAGCCUCAACCUCCUGGGCUCAAGUGAUUUUUCCCACCUCAGCCUCCUGAGGAGCUGGAACUACAGGCGUGUGUCACGAAGCUCAGCUAAUUUUUUUGUACUGACAGGGUCUCACUAUGUUCCCCAGGCUGGUCUUGAACUCAUGGGCUCAGACAAUACUCCUGCCUUGGCCUCCCAAAGUGCUGAGAUUACAGGCAUGAGCUACCAUGCCCAGCCACAAUAUCUUAUGCAAAUUAACAAAUUAUUCAAUUUGCUCUAUUAGAUCUAAAAAUAGCCACUCUAAAAAUAUAUGCAGAUGAUCACCAAUCACUUCCAAAGACACUUCCAAAGAUCUUUGUCUAUUGGAAAAAGAUGUAAAAUAGAUACAGAAAACAAAACAGAUGGACAUAUUUCAUUGCCAAUGCCCUUUUCUGGAUAAAAGUCCAUACAUAUACACACACUGUAUAAAUGUCGACUUACGACUUUUCUCCUGAUUCACAUUAACUCAAUCACAAGUAGACUUCCCUUCAACUGGGCCAUCUCCCAACCAUAUUUUUAUCCUUAGUUUCUUUCUUAGUAUAAAGUGGGGAUGAAAACAGCACUUAGACUGACAGGGCUAAGGUAAAGAUGAAAGAAAGCAACCCCUGAGUACUUAGAACACCACCUGGCACCUACUCACUGUUAGUAAGACUGGCCUCUUCUUAUCAUUAUUGUUAUUGGUGACUUCCUUGCAUUCCAGGAAUUCUGGGAGUCAUUACUCUGAGCUUAAUGUUUACUGUCUAAUUUUAAAAGCAAAUUCUGACUGGGUGUGGUGGCUCACACCUGUAAUCCCAACACUUUGGAAGGCCAAGGUGGGAGGAUCCCCUGAGCCCAAAAGUUCGAGAUCAGCCUAGGCAACAUAGCGAGACCCUGUCUCUACAAAAAAAAAAAAAAUUCCAGGCAUGGUGGAGCACACCUGUACUCCCAGGAGCUACUAGGGAGGCUAAGGCAGGAAGAGCACUUGAGCCCAGGAGUUCAAGGCUGUAGUGAGCUGUGAUCACACCACUGCACUCCAGCCUAGCCUGGGCUACAGAGCAAGACCCUGUCUCAAAAUAAAUUAAAUAAAUAAAUAAACAAACAAACAAAUAAAUUUGAGUACGAGUGAGGGACUCCCCAACGGAGAAGAGAACCAACUCCACGUCUUCUGGAUGAAUGUCUCACAUCCUCUAACGCCUCCCUGGCCUGUGUUUUCCAACUGAAAUGCCUUUUCCUUACCCUAAGCAGCUCCUCCUCCUUCUUCAAGGACCAGCUGAAAUGCAGACGCUGCCUCUCCUUCCCCUCCGGGAGCAGAACUGCACGGUGCUCUCCUGUUCUCCUGAACCCCUUGGAUAAGCCCCCAGUCAUAUUUCUCACACUUGAAUCAUCAAGUGAGCUUUGCUCUGUUGUUAUCUAACAGUGUGGAACAGCAUUUCGGAGUGAAGGAGUACACAGGGCAUGACCAAAGGAAAACUCUCAACUCACAGGAAACGACUAGCCGGAGACAUUUAACCUCCAGACUGAUGUGUGAGAACACAGGGAACAGUUCUCUAGCUGUGGAAGAGAAUCUCAAAAGCACUCAACUUCAUCCAGCCCUCCUCUGCAAUGACACUAGACUAGUUAGUUUUCUCCACUUAAAUUUAGCCUUUCUUGAUUUUUUGAAAAAUAGGAAGUCACUGAGGCUCCAAACACACCAGCAAGUAGGAGUAAACCGAAUCAAUUAAAUGUCAUGUACUAACCUUUU
rnacentral:lncRNA from 1 species